UUAAUUUACUACUGCUAAUAUAUAACUCUAUGUAUUAAUAAUAUAUAUUACAAUAAUAAUUAUAUUAUUAUAAUUAUUAUAAUAAUUAUAUUAUUAUAUGUACGUGUAAAAUAUUAUGUGCUGUGAAUGUGAUAUUAUUUUCUUAAAUCAAUAAAAUGGAAAUAAAGCAAGCAGAUAAUAAUUUUUACAAAGAAGAAUGUAAAAUUAAAAUCGAAAAUUCUGGACAACCUGUGUGAUGCUGUAAUAGUUCCUAUUCUGUUAAAACUUUAAAACUGAGAUAGAGUGGAGACUGUAGAGUCUUUAAAACUGAUAAAAGUAGUUAUUUCUAUGGUGGAAAUUUUUUGGACCAAAUAAAUAGUGAAGACAUCAAAUAAAAGGAGGAUAGAUAAUUCAUGUCGAAAAUGAUUUUCUUCAUAAUAAAUGAAGAACUGAAGUUAUUGUAAAACCAGUGGCUGGACAUUCUCCUGUCAAGAAGAACAACCCAUUAGCAAGUGUGCAAAAGAAACAAUGAAAUUGUGAAAUUUGUUUUAGGUUAUUUACCUGUGUAGAUUAUUUGAAAAAACAUUUAAAGGCCCCGUCUCACCAUCAAAUAAUUGACAGUUAUUUGAUCAAACUUGACAGUUAGUGACACAAAGUGACAGUUAGUAUGUAUAGUUUGUGUCACUAACUGUCAAGUUUGAUCAAAUAACUGUCAAUUAUUUGAUGGUGAGAUGGGGCCUUAAGAGCACACACUGGAGAAAAACCUUAUCAAUGUGAAAUCUGCGUUAAGCAAUUUUCUCUAAAUUCUCGUCUAAAUCGACAUAAAUAUAUGAUAGUUCAUACUCGGGAAAAAUCUCACAAAUGUGAAAUCGUUUACCACUGCGUGUCAUAUGAAAGCACAUUUUAGAACCCACAGUGGUAAAAAACCUUAUGUUUGUCUUCUUUGUUUUUAUACCCUCAAUCAGAUUGUAAAUAGUAUUCUUUUAAAUGUACUUUAGUUCAUCCUCAUUUUUUCAUAUUUUCAUUUUUAAUUUGUCACAUGUACCGCAUGUGAUAUUUUUCUUUAUGUUUCUUCAUACUGAUAAUCAGGCUGUAAAACAUGUUUUCAUAUAUUUUACAAUUAAUAAAAUUAUCUGGAUACAUCUUCUAAGCUUCAUAAAUAUGUAACAGUGAGAGUGUAGAGUGAAGGUAAAUAUUUCCUUGAUGACUGCCUUCUUUUCAUAUUUAUUCAUUUCAAAAUUUGUUUUUUUACACAUUCUUCAAUUUUCAGUUAUUAUAAUAAAAUAAUGUUAUUAGUUAAUUCAAACACACACUUUUAUUUUGCAAUAAUAAUCACAACGAUGACACAACACUGUAGACUAAUUUAUAGGUUGUGUAUGUUAAGUUGGUUGCUUAUUACAUUAAAAUCUAACCAUUAAUAAGAGUACAAAUCAAGUUGUCUCAUUAUUCACUAAUAGAUAAACUGAUAUAGGCUGUACCAAAAGGAAUAUGUUGACAUAUCCCUUUGUACACUAAACUUUCUAUACUAUUUUGUAAGUACCUCUUUUGGAACAAUCAACCUAACAUACAAUUUUUAGCUACAAUGGCUUGUCCCCUUUUACCAACUUGGAAUGGCGGCUCAUUUUCUUCUUCUGCCAUAAGUUCGCUAUAGUACUCAUGCCAUCUUCGUGUUUGCUCUUCUGUUGUUGUAAGCAGUUGUCCUUGUUUUUCUUUUAGUGGUGUGUCACUGUUGACAUUCUUAUUUGCAAGAUGUUUAGUGGUUUUAUAUAGCUCUCUCUGAUUAUUUGUUUCGGCUACCUCUUCUGCUAAGCGUGCCAUCUCUGUCCAUUCUCUUUUGUAAUUCCCAGCACUCUUUUACUUGUCGUAAUUCUCCUAAUUACUUUUACUUGUCCUAAUUCUCAUAAUUCCUUUUAUUUGUUUAUUUAUAUCUGCAUACUCUUGGGUUAUUCUGAUUUUAUCUUCUAAUUUUUGUAUUCUAUUUAGUUCGGCCUUUAAAUCCUUUCUCUUUUUUAUCAGUUGCCAUGUGUUCCUAGCCACUCUGUUUUCUUUUCUCAGUUGUAGCCCAACACUUCUUGUGCGGUUUGGUGUACAGCCUCUUUGAUCAUCUCCCAUUUGUUUGAUAUAUUUGUCUGUAUGUUGUUUACAGUUUCUGUGUUCAACUUUAUUUUGUUACUCCACAUUUUUUGGGUUUCACUGUCUUUCAGUUGUUGUAUAUUAUCUUCGUUUGUUAUAUUGUUUACUCCCUCUUUUGGCCUUGAUUUUUACUUUUAUUUCCGCUAUUAGUAGGUAAUGAUGACUUCCUACAUCUGCUGAUCUUUUAUUUCGUACACCUAGAAGGAUACUUCUCCAUUUUUUAUUAAUUAAGAUGUGGUCUAUGUGAUUUUGCGUUUUAUUAUUUGGUGAGAUCCAGGUUAUUUUGUGGCAGUCUUUGUGUGAGAAAAACGUUCCUCCAAUGACAACAUUGUUUUUAGGCUAAGUUCUAUAAAUUUCUCUCCAUUGUUGUUUCUUUUCGCUAGUCCAUAUGUUCCCAUGCAUUUUGCCACUCCCUUAUUGUCUUUGCCAACUUUCGUGUUCAGAUCUCCCAUGACUAUGAGUAUAUCUCCUUUGGUCAGCUUUCCGAUAGUAUCUGUUAAUUGUUGGUAGAAAUUGUCUUUCUCAUCUUCUGUAGGUGCGUAACAUUGAAUAAUGGUUUAAUAACAAUAAUAAAUUUAAUAAUAAUAAAUAAAUUGAGGAGAAAUCUGUAAAUUUAUUAAGAUUAGAUAACAACAGAAGCUAAAUAUUUCAUUACUUACAACUAAUUAAUAUAAAUUUUCUAAAAAUAUCUUGAACAUUGACUUACUACAUACCAAUUGGAUUUAUUUUGACAUAUUUGGGAAUUAUAGUAACUGGAAUAAUUUUUAUUUCAAUAGAAUUAACUAUUUCAAAUGGGAAAUAAGCCACAAUUUAACUAAAAAAUGGUUUUAAUAACGUUUUGACGUCCACAUCGGAUUUCGAUGUCAAAAACAAAAUAUUAAUGUUUAAUUAAUAUUUUGUAAUACCAUUUAAUAUUUUGUAUUUUGAUAACGACGUCCGAUGCGGAUGUUGUAACGAUAAUAAAAUCAUUUUUUUAUUAAAAUUGGGGCUUAUUUCCAAUUUAGAAUAGUUAAUUACAAAAAUGCCACAAGGAAAUGGCGUGAGAACAACAUUUUAAUAAAACGUUAUCUAACAUUGAUUUUUUUAGUGAACAGGUCAAAGUAAACAAGAGAAAGUAUUUACAAUUUUUUUUAAGGUGUAAAGGUACUAUUAAUACUAGAAAAUAAUAAAACAGAUUUCUCCUGAAGAAGUUUCUCCAGAUGUUGGUAUUUUGGAGGUUACUCAUCUCGUCAAAAGUAGUAGAUAUUCGUUGCUGCUUUUGAGAAUAGGGCAGUUCUCACAUCCUCACAUGAAAAUUCUUAGUGGGGAAAAACCUCACAAAUGUGAUUUUUUCUAAGCAGUAUACUACUGCAACUCAUUUGAAAUUACUUUGAAAAAAUAAUGUGAAUUUGAUUUAAUAUUCUUACUAGUAUGGUUUGAAGUGGUCUUAAAACCGUUUAAGAACACACUGAAGGAAAACCAUAUGAAUGUGCGUGGAAGAAAUGUGCUGUAAAAUUUAAAGAUAGUGACAUGAAAGUUCUUGCUUAGAUUUCCCAGAUUUUUAAUAAAGAAUAAAAAAAUUAUAAACAGCUAUUAA
rnacentral:lncRNA from 1 species